GUAGGGAAUAUUGGGCAAUGGUCGGAAGACUGACCCAGCCAUGCCGCGUGCAGGAAGACGGCCCUCUGGGUUGUAAACUGCUUUUAUCUGGGAAGAAAAAGGCCAUGCGUGGCAAAUUGCCGGUACCAGAUGAAUAAGCACCGGCUAACUCCGUGCCAGCAGCCGCGGUAAUACGGAGGGUGCGAGCGUUGUCCGGAUUUAUUGGGUUUAAAGGGUGCGUAGGCGGCCGAUUAAGUCAGCGGUGAAAGACUUCGGCUUAACCGGAGCAGUGCCGUUGAUACUGGUUGGCUUGAGUGUCGGAGGGGUACAUGGAAUUGAUGGUGUAGCGGUGAAAUGCAUAGAUACCAUCAGGAACACCGAUAGCGAAGGCAUUGUACUGGCCGACAACUGACGCUGAUGCACGAAAGUGUGGGGAUCGAACAGGAUUAGAUACCCCGGUAGUCC
rnacentral:rRNA from 1 species